CACCGCGGUUAUACGAGAGGCCCAAGUUGAUAAACACCGGCGUAAAAUGUGGUUGACAUAAUAUUAUACUAAAGCUAAACAUCUUCAAAGCUGUUAUACCCUCAUGAAGACAGGAAAGACUUCUACGAAAGUGGCUUUAAAUAGUGCUAAUCCACGAAAGCUAGGAAA
rnacentral:rRNA from 1 species